UUGCUUAGACAACCAGGAUGUUGGCUUAGAAGCAGCCACCAUUGAAAGAGUGCGUAAUAGCUCACUGGUCGAGUGACCCCGCGCCGAAAAUGUACCGGGGCUAAACAUAUUACCGAAACUGUGGAUGAACCUCUUUAGAGGUUCGUGGUAGGAGAGCGUUCUAAGGGCGGUGAAGUCAGACCGGAAGGACUGGUGGAGCGCUUAGAAGUGAGAAUGCCGGUAUGAGUAGCGAAAGAAGGGUGAGAAUCCCUUCCACCGAAUAUCUAAGGUUUCCUGAGGAAGGCUCGUCCGCUCAGGGUUAGUCGGGACCUAAGCCGAGGCCGAUAGGCGUAGGCGAUGGACAACAGGUAGAGAUUCCUGUACCAGUGCUAAUUGUUUAACCGAUGGGGUGACACAGAAGGAUAGGGAAUCGCACGAAUGGAAAUGUGCGUCCAAGCAGUGAGUGUGAGAAGUAGGCAAAUCCGCUUCUCGCGAAGCAUGAGCUGUGAUGGGGAAGGAAAUUAAGUACGGAAGUUCCUGAUUUCACGCUGUCAAGAAAAGCCUCUAGGAAGAGUAGUACUGCCCGUACCGCAAACCGACACAGGUAGAUGAGGAGAGAAUCCUAAGGUGAGCGAGAGAACUCUCGUUAAGGAACUCGGCAAAAUGACCCCGUAACUUCGGGAGAAGGGGUGCUCUAUUAGGGUGCAAGCCCGAGAGAGCCGCAGUGAAUAGGCCCAGGCGACUGUUUAGCAAAAACACAGGUCUCUGCAAAACCGUAAGGUGACGUAUAGGGGCUGACGCCUGCCCGGUGCUGGAAGGUUAAGAGGAGUGCUUAGCUUCGGCGAAGGUACGAAUUGAAGCCCCAGUAAACGGCGGCCGUAACUAUAACGGUCCUAAGGUAGCGAAAUUCCUUGUCGGGUAAGUUCCGACCCGCACGAAAGGCGCAACGAUCUGGGCACUGUCUCAACGAGAGACUCGGUGAAAUUAUAGUACCUGUGAAGAUGCAGGUUACCCGCGACAGGACGGAAAGACCCCGUGGAGCUUUACUGCAACCUGAUAUGGAAUGUUUGUACCGCUUGUACAGGAUAGGUAGGAGCCGAAGAGACGUGUGCGCUAGCAUACGAGGAGGCAAUGGUGGGAUACUACCCUGGCUGUAUGACCAUUCUAACCCGCCACGCUUAGCGCGUGGGGAGACAGUGUCAGGUGGGCAGUUUGACUGGGGCGGUCGCCUCCUAAAGAGUAACGGAGGCGCCCAAAGGUUCCCUCAGAAUGGAUGGAAAUCAUUCGCAGAGUGUAAAGGCACAAGGGAGCUUGACUGCGAGACUGACAAGUCGAGCAGGGACGAAAGUCGGGCUUAGUGAUCCGGUGGUUCCGCAUGGAAGGGCCAUCGCUCAACGGAUAAAAGCUACCCCGGGGAUAACAGGCUUAUCUCCCCCAAGAGUCCACAUCGACGGGGAGGUUUGGCACCUCGAUGUCGGCUCGUCGCAUCCUGGGGCUGUAGUCGGUCCCAAGGGUUGGGCUGUUCGCCCAUUAAAGCGGCACGCGAGCUGGGUUCAGAACGUCGUGAGACAGUUCGGUCCCUAUCCGUCGCGGGCGCAGGAAAUUUGAGAGGAGCUGUCCUUAGUACGAGAGGACCGGGAUGGACACACCGCUGGUGUACCAGUUGUUCCGCCAGGAGCAUCGCUGGGUAGCUAUGUGUGGCAGGGAUAAACGCUGAAAGCAUCUAAGCGUGAAGCCCCCCUCAAGAUGAGAUUUCCCAUUUCUUCGGAAAGUAAGAUCCCUGAAAGAUGAUCAGGUAGAUAGGUUUGGAGUGGAAGUGUAGCGAUACAUGGAGCGGACAAAUACUAAUCGAUCGAGGACUUAACCAAAA
rnacentral:rRNA from 1 species